UUUUCCUACGGGGGGCAGCAGUGAGGAAUAUUGGUCAAUGGCCGGAAGGCUGAACCAGCCAAGCCGCGUGAAGGACGAAGGUGCCAAGCAUUGUAAACUUCUUUUGUCAAGGGACAAAAUCAGGCUCGAGAGCCUGACCGAGGGUACUUGAAGAAAAAGCAUCGGCUAACUCCGUGCCAGCAGCCGCGGUAAUACGGAGGAUGCGAGCGUUAUCCGGAUUUAUUGGGUUUAAAGGGUGCGCAGGCGGAAUGUCAAGUCAGCGGUAAAAUUUCGGGGCUCAACCCCGUCGUGCCGUCGAAACUGGG
rnacentral:rRNA from 1 species